GCAUAUUAAUUGAAGUUUUUAUUUCGAUAAGGUCGUCAUGAUCUGGUGUACCAGUUAUAAAUUAAAGUACAGAACCAAGAAAGUUAAGAGAUCUUUUGGGCCUAUAGAUAUUUGGCAUAAGUUGAUUUUUUAAUGUUUCCAUUUUAUUAAUUAAUAUUUUUGUUUCGGGCUGUUUUUCUAAAUUAUAAGAAGAUCUCAUUAUGUCUUCAUAGGGCGCAAGUAUUUUUGAUAAAUUUUAAAUCUGAUAUAGAAAGGAACUAUUUUUAUAUAUGUAUACGGGGUCAGUUUCUACGAGAAUAUAUUUUUUGUUACUUAAAUCUAUUAUAUUGUCGCAUGAUGCGAUAGGGAAAAGUAAAAAGAAAAUUAUUCCGUACAGGCCUUUACUCUUAUGUUAUCCUUAUGGAUAAUCCGUCCUUUAUUAGUCGUUGCAGUCUUUCCGUUAUCAUUUUUUACAAAGUGCUUCGCGUAUUUUCUUACGUUCUUAUUACGCCUGUGCGUCUUGGAAAAUAUUACGUCACCUGGAUUAUAGUUCAGCUGCUUUCGAUUGCGAUUAUGAUGACGCAAGACUCUUUCCAGGUUUUGUUGUAUUCGUUCUUGGAUGUCGGGAUACCCCCUUUGAUUAUAAAACACGUCCUCGGGUUUCUCGUUAGUAACGGGAUGUAUGGUUUUGUUGUACUGCCGAACAGCUUCAAAAAUUUGGUCUUCCGGUGCUGAAUUAUUCUGCUCUGCUAAAACUUUCGCGAUUUCAAUAAUUGUACUGUGCGUACGCUCAACUUGUCCGUUUGUAGUAGAAUGGAACGCUGGCGUUUUUGUGUGCGUUAUUUGUAAUUGUAUUUUUUUGUGCACAUACAUAUGCUUGUAAAUCAUAGAUCGUUAUCAGUCAUUAAAAAUUUUGCGUUUGGGUAAAUUUGUGAAAGAAUCUCGUCGACGUAUUUGUAUGUAUCUUUCCUUGAAGAUAUUUGUCUAAAAUAGCAAAAUUUUGAGUAUCUGUCCGUUGAGCUAAUGUAUAUGUUAUCGCUCAUGUAGAAUAAGUCUAAUGCCGGUAUUCUGCUUGUCACGAUUGUCUCAUGUCUCUAAUUGAGACAAUCGUAAUUUAGUGACUCUGUUGGUCCGGAUGUCUCAUUUUGGUAUUCUGGCAGAUACAGUCUCAAAAAUAUUCACCAAAUAGUAUGGUGAAAAGAAGGGCAGCAAUCAGCUGUUUAGUUUAGCUGACUAGAGAUGAGUGCAAGUGCACAAUCGUAAUGUAUGAAACGAUUGCAUGCAAUUAGUUUUUUUCAUAAAAUUUCAGCAGUAAAACUUCUUCUUAAUAAUUGCACAGUACAAUUAUUGCAAACUAAUACUAAAAUAGUUUAUAAUAAAUGCUUAACAUAUGCAUUUUAUCUGUAUCAAUUGUUAAGUAAAUAUGAAAAAAUUUAACAACACAGUUAUCGAUUAACACAUGUGUUCAUCCUUAUAUUUGAUAAUAAUGGAAAAGGAAGGUAAGUAAUUGUAAACAAUAAAAAUUUCAUUAUUUUAAGAUUGUUAUAGUAUAUGUAUAAUUUAUCUUUUUUAGAGAUCAUAAUAAAGUGCACCUCGAAGGAGCAAAUAGAGUGCUAUCUCAACUUUGUGCGGGUUCACCCGGAUAAAGUUGCAUAAAAACGACCCAUCGCGGUCGAAAAGAAUGGAGGAGCUUUGGGCUGAACUCUCCGUGCAAUUAAAUGCCCUAAAAGGGCCCACCCGGAACCCCAUACAAUGGAGAGAGAAUCUGAGCCACUGGAAAAACCAAAUAAGGUCACGUGCAAGGAAAGUCAAGGCGCACAAGCUGGUGACGGGUGGCGGACCCAGCUAAACAAGUGAGCUCUCUGAAACGGAGCAGAGAGCGUUAGAAACGUUAGGGUCAAUUGCGGUUAAUGGGUUGACUGAUGUACCAGCCAUUGGCACAGAGGAAGAAGUAGUUUUCACAGCUGCACCAUCACCCCUAAAUACGACUUCGUAUGCGUCCAAUGAUUGCACUCCGUCAUCGUCCCGUAGUAAAAAAAUUACGACGGACGAAAUGUUCCGAAAUUAUAUGGAUUUAAUGAAAGGAAAAGCCGAGGAGGAGAGAGCUUUCCGGAUUCAAACUUUAGAUUCCAUUAAUAAACAUACGGAAUCCAUUAAUAACUUAGCGGCAGCGAUGGUAUCGCUUGCUCAGACCAUCGUAAAAAAUA